AACUUUUAUAUUCCACACUAAAUCUCUCCCACGGAAUGCCAGCAGUCACAGCCAGAACAGCUCACGACAUUUCCCGUGCCUGCACCAUUGUUACAAAAAAAUGAAAAGGUGUGCGUAUGUGUGUGUACGUGUGUGUGUGUGUGUGGAGGGAAGAUGCAUUAAGACAAAGUCUUCUGCAAGAAGAAGUGGGUAGAAACAGUCCUGAGCAACUUCUCGUGAGCUGACCAAAAAGCGUCAGUCUGUUCUUCAUUUAGAAGAGAGCGACUAAGGGACAAGGGGAGCAACGCUCAGGAAUAUCCCACUUGCUUAAUCUGAGGAGCAUUUCGUCUCUGACAACGGGCAGGGCCAGAGGUUCUAACAGGGUUAGAUCAAGCAAGGACAGCAUCAAGUUAGAGGAAGCAGAGAGGAUGCAAAGAAAAAUCAAACCCAGAUGUACAUUUCAACCGAGAAACCUGAGGUGUUUAGAACAGGGAUUUUUGUUUGAGGCUGUGCAGAGGGAGAUGUUUGCUCCCCGGGGGAUGUCUCUCACCUAAGACUGAAACUACAGAUCAGGAACCUCCUCCUGGGCUGCAGCAGGGGCUCUGUGAACCACCAGUGAGAACCGAACAUACCAGCAAUGCUGAUGCUACGGGAGCAACCUCACAGUAACAGAGGCAAGAUUUACAACACGAUCCUUGAACAGUUGCUGCAGCUGAAUAGUUCAACCUCACCGCACCUUUUGGAACUCUGUAUUCUAAGUUCCGAAGGGACUGAAAGGAAGCUAAUGCUAUGCCAUGGGUUAAUUUACUUUUCAAUUCAAUGUUGGCACCAUUAUUGUUAUUGCAGAGCAACCAGACCUUAAAACAUAGACUGAGUCCAAGCCGAGUCCCUUCUAAACAUUACGAUUUUGGAUCCAACUUUGAGAUAUCCCUGAGAGUGGGAACUCUUACCUUCAGACCUUAAAACACCAGAACAAGAAAAAGACCACACCAUGACUUACUUCACAAAUGAUAAUGGCAGGUGCCAAGCAUACCCUAUCAGCUCCAAACCCCUGAACACUCACCCCAUCGUGCCGGCUGCUACUGGAAGUUCCCACCUACCUGCAACACCAACCCUUCUAUCCAGCCUGCCUCGCGCCGGUACUUCACUACCUGAGGACGGACUGCGUGAUCACAGGCAGAACUUACCCAUCCCAUAUUUCUAUACCUCUAAUAUUUAGAUACUAUUCACAGCUCAGAUAAGACAGCAGUACUUUCUGUCAUUCCUAUUAACCAAAUUCUGGUAGAUAGUGAUCUACGCGAACCGUUUCUCCUCCCCAGGGAAGCAACACUACGUUCAGUGCUGUGUGCACAGACAGUGAGGUCGCCCAGGUACGCAGCUCAGCACCCUCUGCUGCGAUGACGGACCACCUUCAAAGCUGGGCAGAUACAGCUGGAAACUACUGACAGAAGAUUGCAGACCCCUGGACCUGAGCACGUAAACGAGAGGGCCAUCAGCUGCACGCACCCUGCCACAAAGCCUCCUUGUCUGAAGAAAACAAGCACUGGCAGGACCGCAGCACGCUGUCUCUUUGCCACUGCUGUCCCACUACAGAUGUCAGGAAGUUCAAGCAGCCAGUCGACAUUUGCAGAAUGAAUCAUGGGGCACCGCUUUCCACUCUGACAAAAACAACUGCUGUUCAGUUAGCGAGAUGAUGCUGAUCAAAUGGGUGGAUAGAAAAAGUGAGCUCCCGGAACCGCUGCCAAAAAGGCUCCGCCAGCACAAGGAAGCUGUGCGCACUCCCUUGAAGAACUCUGAUUUUUUCCUGUCCUUAUUCUGCAGUUUCAUUUUCCCAUUUAUUUACCUGCAGAGCGCAGCCUGUGGGACAGCUACCAGCUUUGUCCCCUAACUAGAGAAAACACUUUUGCUGGAAGAAGCUAGAAUCGUUAAAGCUGGAGGAAAGCAGAUAUGAUUUAUGGAACACGGAGUGCUACAGGAGACAGAAAAAGCAGCUUCCUUUGUUGCCUGUUGCCAAAAUUUCAGAAGACCAGACAACAACUUUCAAAUUUCCAAGGGAACAGCCACUAAGUACGUCAAAAAUAGAGUUAGGAAACUGCCUGUUUCAGAAGUCAGAGUCUGUAAGAGGAGCCAGCAUUUUUCAGUAUUUCUGUCAUUUCCGACCAGAUCACUGAAGAGUUAAGAGACAUCUAUCUACCAACAAAACCCAGCCCCCAGAACAUGACAAAAUGAGGAAGGAAAUCUACGUGGCAAAGAAAUAUUCACGUAUUCACUGUCAUUCAAUUAUUUAAAAUAAGUCUCUCGUUAUUUUUGCACAGUUUUAUCCAGAGAAGUUAUUUUUCCCUCUACAGUUUUCAAACAUCUCUGCACUUUCUUAGGCAUAAGAGGCACAGCAGCAGACCAGGGAUAGCUUCACUACAGUCACCCUUCUGUUCAAAAGCAGAUAAAUCUGAAUGUGUGAAAAAUGCAAUACUCGAUGCUCUUCUCUGAAAGGGAGAGAUAAGACUUCCCAUGUUCUUUCUGACUUAACUGAAAAUUCUGAUUUCAAUGUUGAAAUGAAAGAGUUCGAAGAGGGGGAACAUCUCCAUUCUUUAUUAUUCUUCAGUGCUCAUUUUCUGGUGCAUAGGCUGUAAUACAGCACUCAUUAACACUGACAAUUACCAUAUUCAAGUUGCACAGCAAGUUCCUUCUACCUACACGGGAAAAAUACAGCACAACCCUAUUUGCUCCCUUUGCUUAUUGUCCGAGACGGAUCACGUGCUGGAAAAGCUAGCGUUUGAUCACCUAACAGGAGAGGAAUUGGGACAGGUAUCCAUUAGAAACGCUAACGAGCCUCCAACAGAAAAUCAUUUCAUUAAGUUUUGGCUGAUCGCUAACAAUAGAGAGCUGUGCAGGAAAAUUAAGGACUGGAGAAGAUGUGUGCUGGAGGCUGCCUGAGAACUAAAUCCCCAAUGGGAUGGGGUAGGAAUGCCCCACUGCUUUGAACUUUUUGGCGCAUUUGAGGGAGAUGCAAAUAAAAGACCUGAGUUGCCAGCUUCAUUUCAGAGGGACUUGCACUAGAACUGCUGACAGCCCUGAAUGGAGACAGAACCGCGGGGUACGCCUGGGUGCAUGGAGAGCAUCACAGGGAGCCCAGCAGCAACAAAAAUUAGGACAAAUUAACACAAAAAGGAUGAAGCACAAGGAGUUCAAAUCCCAGGGGACAAACAAGCCCUCUAAUGUAGAUCAGGAUUUCAGAAAAAAGGGUAUCUGUAAGGUUUGAUACCCUAUAUAGUAAUAUCCUAGAGUUUCCAUUUGUUCUUACUCUCUGCAUUUUUUAAUAGGUUAUUUAAACGGAAUCAGCUAAUCACUGCAGCAGCUUAGGAACGCUUACCUGUUUUAAAGGUAGGAAAACAAAGGCAGCUAAAUUAUUGGCAAAAUAUCAAGAUCUAGUAAGGAUCUAUGGUACCCAUUGAUUUUAGGUCCUACAUAAUAAGAAGUCAGCAGUUUCGCAAAAGACAGGCGUAUUGGUAUAGAUUAGGCACCCAGAAACGGAGCAGAAAAGUUUGGCUUUGGUGGCCCAAUCAAAGCCAGGAAAAGGGAGAAUCUAAACUACAGCAAUUCAUCGCUUCCAGACGGCUCGUAUGAAUGAACGUUUGCUGCUGCUUCAACUUUUAAGUCAGCUUAGCACACUGCAGAACUAUGCAGCUGAAAUGUGAAGUACUCAAACACUGAGAUCCCUCCAAUAUUAAUUGUCAUGUUACGGAGUAAGUGUUGAGAAACACGCAGUGAUAUAAUGCAAACAAAUCCCAUUCUGAGAUCCUGGCUCUGCUUUCAAGAUUCCUUACGACAGUUAGGAGCUCUCAGUUACCAAUCAUAAUUACUUCAGAUUUGGAACUCUCAGUCCACAUUUGGCACACUAUAAACAUCUUAUUACAACUAAAAUCAAUAGUGAGCAUUUUUAAACGCAGCAAAGGGAUCUUCACGUGUGGAUCAUGUCGCCUAAGAGGCAGGUAAGGACAAAUAUCCAUAGAAGAGGUGGAACUCUUUCGGCCACAGAGGUAGUAGGCAGCGCUGCCUGCUCUGGCUCUGGCAUGUCGGUUGUCCCCACACACUGACCUGCAAAGUGAAUGCAAAUUGCUCCUCUCCUCAAGGUCAGCCUUCCGCGUUCUUGUCCGGCGCAGCUACACUGAAGAGCCUGUUACAUGAACGGACCUCGCUCGCCGAACGGUGAAAGAUGGAAGGCCAGAAGCAGCAGGUACAGCCACAGCUAACGAAGUGGGAGAGCAGCAGAAAGAGGUGCUCAGCUUUCCGAGUCGCUAUAAAAGCAAAUGAUAAUUUAAAAUCUCCAGCAGAUAGCGAGAUAGGAGGGUAAUGAUCCAAGAUAUCAGUGCAUGAAAAGGAAGUAUCCUAUGGAGCCUGUGACCAGUCACCAUAACCAGUUUCAUAAAUAAAUGAAAGCAGAACAACCCCUGAGGUCACAGAGUUAGCGUGAGGGACAUGAGUGACCGGCCACUUGGAGAAGCCUGCAGAAACAACUGGCGUUACAGAGCAAAAGGACUGACUGGCCAAGCACGCAGGAGCUUGGGAGAGAAAGCUGAUAGGAGGGAAGGAGGGGAAGAUUAGGGUAUUAAAGACAGCAGCAAAGUCACUCUAGAUAGUAGCUAACUAGCACUGCUAGCCUGGUACGCAACAGCUGAAGGCCUAGGGCAAAAAGCAGCAGUUUGGGAAUACAAAGAAAGAGGAGAGAACAUAAAAGCCAGCUCAUUGUUUUUCUACUCCAGGCCGAAUCAGCCCAAACACCUCUGCCUGUUUCUAUGGCAGAGCACCUCAGUUUUGCAUCCUUCAUGAGGAGUAAUUAGUUCACUUGUUGGCAGAAUCAAUAGAAAGGCCAAGUGUUGGACUGAUCAAGGAAAGCGCCAUUCUUCUCUUCCUGCAGGAGCUUGCUGGUAAAGGCGUGCUUCCUAAGGCAGGUUUGGUCCCUCGUUGCAUAUUUAACUGUCCUUUUUCUCCAGCCUGAGGACACCAGAUUCCAGAAUCAUCAAUCCAAAGACCUUCCAGUACCGUUAACAUCCACUGCUAUUAAAAAUAAGAAAUACAUUACAUUUCCUCUUCGAUAUUGUGGCUGAUCUCAUUGAAACCAUGAAAACAACAGCCUAAAUACUUUGCCCUGUGGUAUCUCAAGGAGCUGGAAGCCUUCUACCAGCGAGAAACUCUUGCAGCAGUUACCAUGGUGACACCCGUAAUAGAUAUUUAAAGGCAGCUCACCCGUAAUCACACCUAUUAGGUACCAAGCAGCUUUGGUACGAAAGACAUAAAAAGCUUGAAACCAGGGAACUGGGCCUAGGGAUGGUGUAAGAGGACGGGAAAUUUAUGGAGAGGGACCUGCUUAUACCGCCGCUCGGCUGGGCACCAAGGGCUCCUUCUGUUCAAAUCUGAAACAGCGCUGAAGUUUGCAGAAUGAACUGUUUUUAGCAAGUCAUUUAAAAUUUUAUUCUGACGGCCACGUUUCAAUAGCAGGAGCUCUAUAAACCCUUACAGGGUUGCCCUGGCCAGAAUAGGAAGCUGUGCUACGGCUCACAGGGCUGCUGGAGACCACUCUGCCCAUCACAGCCACCCAACGGGGCUUCCUCCCAGGAGGGGAACAUCACUGUGGGCACUGCUGCUCCCUGCACCCGCCCAGGGGCCGACACCACCAAACCUGCCCGGCUCCGGCCGGGUGGGCAAAGGAACGGGGCCAGGCUGCUUUUUGAACACCACUGCGCAUUUGGAAACACAGAUCCGGAUAGAUAAGCAGCAUCCUUGGUGAACUAGAAAUAUAAACAUCAAAUAAUUUCUUGAGGAUCGAAUGUAACAAAGAGAGUCCGCAGGAUCAGAUCUCCAGCUAUGGAACCACUUCAUCACCAAGCUGGCUAUGCCUAUGCAGCAGUUAUCAAAUUGAGACUUCCUUUCUCUUUUUGCUGCAUAUUUCCAUGACAACUUUCCCCCCCACCAGUACCAACUUCUUUCUAUUGGAAAGGUCUCUCAAACGAGAAUUUAGGCUUCUAUAGCAACAGCUAAAAUCCCUGGGAGAUGAUGAUGUCUGAAGCCUUAUGCAGAUCUUUUUUUAGACCGUGAGUUACAAGGCAAGUGCAUUUUGAAUUUCAUGGAGGAAAACAAAAGUAUGCUUAAUAUCAGGGAGAUGGGAAGAAGGGAACAAGAAGCUUGCUGAAGUGGGACAAACACCAAGGAAGCACGUUACUUUCGAAAAGGAUGUGAGCUUUGAGAUCUAAAACGUCAAAGAGAGAAGAAAGACGGGAUCAAACAGCUUGAAAACCCACAUCCUGCUCCUUCUCUCAGAGUUACAAAGCAGAGUCACAAGGAACAGUCUGCUGAUUCUAAAAGGAGAUCUUAUUUAAACACACAUAUCUGUAUCUCUGCAGCCUCACACAUUGACCUGGAGAAAAAAAUAAAUAAAUCAGGCUGUCCUUUCA